rnacentral:rRNA from 1 species
GACGAACGCUGGCGGCGUGCUUAACACAUGCAAGUCGAACGGAAAGGCCCUGCUGUUGUGGGGUGCUCGAGUGGCGCACGGGUGAGUAACACGUGAGUAUCCUGCCCUUGACUUUGGGAUAACUUCAGGAAACUGGGGCUAAUACCGGAUAGGAGCUCCUGCUGCAUUGUGGGGGUUGGAAAGUUUCGGCGGUUGGGGAUGGACUCGCGGCUUAUCAGCUUGUUGGUGGGGUAGUGGCUUACCAAGGCUUUGACGGGUAGCCGGCCUGAGAGGGUGACCGGACACAUCGCGACUGAGCUACGGCACAGACUCCUACGGGAGGCAGCAGUGGGGAAUAUUGCACAAUGGGCGGAAGCCUGAUGUAGCAACGCCGCGUGCGGGAUGACGGCAUUCGGGUUGUAAACCGCUUUCGCCUGUGACGAAGCGUGAGUGACGGUAAUGGGUAAAGAAGCACCGGCUAACUACGUG